rnacentral:rRNA from 1 species
GACGAACGCUGGCGGCGUGCUUAACACAUGCAAGUCGAACGCUGAAGGCCCAGCUUGCUGGGUUGGAUGAGUGGCGAACGGGUGAGUAACACGUGAGUAACCUGCCCUCUUCUUUGGGAUAACGGUCGGAAACGGCUGCUAAUACCGGGUAUUCACUGUCCUUCGCAUGGGGGGUGGUGGAAAGGUUUUUUCUGGUGGGGGAUGGGCUCGCGGCCUAUCAGCUUGUUGGUGGGGUGAUGGCUUACCAAGGCUUUGACGGGUAACCGGCCUGAGAGGGUGACCGGUCACAUUGGGACUGAGAUACGGCCCAGACUCCUACGGGAGGCAGCAGUGGGGAAUAUUGCACAAUGGGCGAAAGCCUGAUGCAGCGACGCCGCGUGAGGGAUGGAGGCCUUCGGGUUGUAAACCUCUUUCGCUCAUGGUCAAGCCGCAACUGUGGUUGUGGUGAGGGUAGUGGGUAAAGAAGCACCGGCUAACUACGUGCCAGCAGCCGCGGUAAUACGUAGGGUGCGAGCGUUGUCCGGAAUUAUUGGGCGUAAAGGGCUUGUAGGCGGUUUGUCGCGUCUGCCGUGAAAUCCUCUGGCUUAACUGGGGGCGUGCGGUGGGUACGGGCAGGCUUGAGUGCGGUAGGGGAGACUGGAACUCCUGGUGUAGCGGUGGAAUGCGCAGAUAUCAGGAAGAACACCGGUGGCGAAGGCGG